GGGCCUGCAGUGGGUACGGGCAGACUAGAGUGCGGUAGGGGAGAUUGGAAUUCCUGGUGUAGCGGUGGAAUGCGCAGAUAUCAGGAGGAACACCGAUGGCGAAGGCAGAUCUCUGGGCCGUAACUGACGCUGAGGAGCGAAAGGGUGGGGAGCAAACAGGCUUAGAUACCCUGGUAGUCCACCCCGUAAACGUUGGGAACUAGUUGUGGGGACCAUUCCACGGUUUCCGUGACGCAGCUAACGCAUUAAGUUCCCCGCCUGGGGAGUACGGCCGCAAGGCUAAAACUCAAAGGAAUUGACGGGGACCCGCACAAGCGGCGGAGCAUGCGGAUUAAUUCGAUGCAACGCGAAGAACCUUACCAAGGCUUGACAUACACCAGAACGGGCCAGAAAUGGUCAACUCUUUGGACACUGGUGAACAGGUGGUGCAUGGUUGUCGUCAGCUCGUGUCGUGAGAUGUUGGGUUAAGUCCCGCAACGAGCGCAACCCUCGUUCUAUGUUGCCAGCACGUAAUGGUGGGAACUCAUGGGAUACUGCCGGGGUCAACUCGGAGGAAGGUGGGGAUGACGUCAAAUCAUCAUGCCCCUUAUGUCUUGGGCUUCACGCAUGCUACAAUGGCCGGUACAAAGGGCUGCAAUACCGUGAGGUGGAGCGAAUCCCAAAAAGCCGGUCCCAGUUCGGAUUGAGGUCUGCAAC
rnacentral:rRNA from 1 species